rnacentral:rRNA from 1 species
GGGUGAGUAAUGCGUAGGAAUCUACCUAGUAGUACGGAAUAGCCAUUAGAAAUGGUGGGUAAUACUGUAUAAUCCCCGAGGGGGAAAGAUUUAUCGCUAUUAGAUGAGCCUACGUUAGAUUAGCUAGUUGGUGAGGUAAUGGCUUACCAAGGCUAUGAUCUAUAGCUGGUCUGAGAGGACGAUCAGCCACACUGGAACUGAGAUACGGUCCAGACUCCUACGGGAGGCAGCAGUGGGGAAUAUUGGACAAUGGGCGAAAGCCUGAUCCAGCUAUGCCGCGUGAGUGAAGAAGGCCUUCGGGUUGUAAAACUCUUUCAAUAGGGAAGAUAAUGACGGUACCUAUAGAAGAAGUCCCGGCAAACUCUGUGCCAGCAGCCGCGGUAAU